UGCCACUGGGAGAGGAUCUCUUUCUGGAGAUCCCUCUUUGAUGAAGCUUUCCCCUGUGAAUUUAGGAUCUUCUGGUAUGGGUUUGAGAAUAAAGACAAAAAUACAUCACACGUGACUGGAAGUGUGUAUUUUUCAGAGGGACAUCUUGUGUGGAUGAACCUCUGUUGUUACCAAGAACAGAAAACUUGAAAUCAUCCAGAACUCCUUAUGUUCACCACAACUGAAGCAACUGCAGACAGCAAUGCUGAACUGUCAAACCAGAUUAUAGAAAAAAGCAAAGAAGAUACGUCUCUUUGGUAAGCAGAGGUUAUGUCUGGCCUGAUGCUGGCCCGUUCACUGAGGACAAGUUCUGUAUUUAGAAGAGAGGUUAAGCUAGCAGGGGACCAUUUGUGUUUCAUGGUGAUCUAUCCGGGGCUGUUUUCUGGAGGUGUGAACUGAGGCUUCCCUGCUGAAGCCCUGACCACAGGUGACAGCUGAGGGCAAAGACACUUUCCACAGUGCUGGUUUUUAUGUGUUUGGACAAAUCAAAUUUAGUAACUACCAAUUGUCAGCAUUUGUGCUUUCCUUGAGAGUGAAGUGAAAAUCAAACAAACAAUCCCUGUGAGUUCUUCUCUGAUAAGUUUGUAUUGAGCAGGUUUAAAAAAAGCAAAAACAAAAACAAAAACAAAACGGUGGUUAUUUGCCAUUGGGGUUAAUGAGCCCUAUGCUGGGGAAAGGCAGUGCAAUCAGGACAGGCAGCAGUAUUUGUGUCCUCACCCAGCUAUCAUGCACUGCUCCAGCCAAGUGCCACAGCAGUCUCUCAGCUGAUGCUGUGCCUUUUCUGGCUAUGGGGACCAUCUCUACUGUGGCUGAAGAUGAGAACAGAGCUUGAAGUUCUGCAGAGUGUCAAAGUUGUACUGAGUCCAGAGCAAGGAGGCAGAUACGCAGCAUGUCUGCAGGCCAUGGGAGCAGGAUAAGGCAGCUCCUGUAAGAAACCUGAACCUUGGAAAAAGAUUGUCUAGCCGUAAAAGUCCUAUUGCUCUCUCCGAGAUCCUAUGUUCAUUGUCAUAGGAUGAGUAGGACAGUAGUAUGUGUUUUUUUUCCCAGCUUUUUAGCUCUUCUCGGAGUGACAAGA